rnacentral:rRNA from 1 species
GAUGGACGCUAGCGGGAGGCCUAACACAUGCAAGCCGAGCGGUAGAGUUUCUUCGGAAACUUGAGAGCGGCGCACGGGUACGUAACACGUGUGCAACCUACCUUUAUCUGGGUGAUAGCCUUUCGAAAGGAAGAUUAAUACCCCAUAAUAUAAUGAUUGGCAUCAAUUAUUAUUGAAAACUCCGGUGGGUAGAGAUGGGCACGCGCAAGAUUAGAUAGUUGGUGAGGUAACGGCUCACCAAGUCAAUGAUCUUUAGGGGUCCUGAGAGGGAGAUCCCCCAGAGUGGUACUGAGACACGGACCAGACUGCUACGGGAGGCAGCAGUGAGGAAUAUAGAACAAUGGGUGAGAGCCUGAUCCAGCCAUCCCGCGUGAAGGAUGACGGUCCUAUGGAUUGUAAACUUCUUUUGUACAGGGAUAAACCUACCCUCGUGAGGGUAGCUGAAGGUACUGUACGAAUAAGCACCGGCUAACUCCGUG